GCAAUACAAACAUUUGGCAGUGAAAGAUAUUUGGGUAGAAGCAAUAGAAACACAAAACAUUACAUAUUUUGUUACAUAUAUCAACCGAGAAAAAGUAUAAGCAAUGGCUAUUGGGAAUUUAUCAUCUUCCACAGGCUAUCACAAGCAUCAAAAGCAGUCAUUUUUGAUGGGUCAAAUUCAAACUUCUUGACCACCUUUUUAUCUCUAUCUACUAUAUCUGUGAUAAAUUUAAA